UACGGGGGGGGCAAGCGUUGUUCGGAAUUACUGGGCGUAAAGGGCUCGUAGGCGGCCAACUAAGUCGGACGUGAAAUCCCUCGGCUCAACCGGGGAACUGCGUCCGAUACUGGAUGGCUUGAGUUCGGGAGAAGGAUGCGGAAUUCCAGGUGUAGCGGUGAAAUGCGUAGAUAUCUGGAGGAACACCGGUGGCGAAGGCGGCAUCCUGGACCGACACUGACGCUGAGGAGCGAAAGCCAGGGGAGCAAACGGG
rnacentral:rRNA from 1 species